GUUCAACAAAGGGUUGAAAUCACACUGAGUUGCCAUUCCUUAAACCAUUUCUUUAAACAAAAGAGCGCCUUCUAGUGGCCUCAGAAAAUGAAUAAUAUGCUUCACAA